rnacentral:rRNA from 1 species
UAGGGAAUCUUCCGCAAUGGGCGAAAACUUGACGGAGCAACGCCGCGUGAGUGAUGAAGGUCUUCGGAUCGUAAAACUCUGUUAUUAGGGAAGAACAAAUGUGUAAGUAACUAUGCACGUCUUGACGGUACCUAAUCAGAAAGCCACGGCUAACUACGUGCCAGCAGCCGCGGUAAUACGUAGGUGGCAAGCGUUAUCCGGAAUUAUUGGGCGUAAAGCGCGCGUAGGCGGUUUUUUAAGUCUGAUGUGAAAGCCCACGGCUCAACCGUGGAGGGUCAUUGGAAACUGGAAAACUUGAGUGCAGAAGAGGAAAGUGGAAUUCCAUGUGUAGCGGUGAAAUGCGCAGAGAUAUGGAGGAACACCAGUGGCGAAGGCGACUUUCUGGUCUGUAACUGACGCGGAUGUGCGAAAGCGUGGGGAUCAAACAGG